ACCAUGUGCAGUUAGUAGGGACCACUGUACUUCAGGCUCCAGCAGGGGAGAAGCGGGCUCCCUGCAGGCUCACCAGAGCCAAUUUCAGGUGUUUUUCAGGGUUGGCUCUCCUACAUCUAUGAUUGGCUGAGGGAGCCCACCAUGGGGCUGAUUACCA